rnacentral:rRNA from 1 species
GACGAACGCGGCGGCGUGCCUAAUACAUGCAAGUAGAACGCUGAAGGAGGAGCUUGCUUCUCCGGAUGAGUUGCGAACGGGUGAGUAACGCGUAGGUAACCUGCCUGGUAGCGGGGGAUAACUAUUGGAAACGAUAGCUAAUACCGCAUAAGAGUAGAUGUUGCAUGACAUUUACUUAAAAGGUGCAAUUGCAUCACUACCAGAUGGACCUGCGUUGUAUUAGCUAGUUGGUGAGGUAACGGCUCACCAAGGCGACGAUACAUAGCCGACCUGAGAGGGUGAUCGGCCACACUGGGACUGAGACACGGCCCAGACUCCUACGGGAGGCAGCAGUAGGGAAUCUUCGGCAAUGGACGGAAGUCUGACCGAGCAACGCCGCGUGAGUGAAGAAGGUUUUCGGAUCGUAAAGCUCUGUUAUAAGAGAAGAACGAGUGUGAGAGUGGAAAGUUCACACUGUGACG